rnacentral:rRNA from 1 species
GGUUUUAGAUCUCUCAGGAGGCAGAAACAUUUGGAAAACUUUAGGCUUGGAAGCUAAGCGGAACUGGGCCUCGUUAGUACUCGGAUGAGAGACCUCCAAGGAAUACCAGAUCUGAAAGUU